GACGAACGCUGGCGGCGUGCCUAAUACAUGCAAGUCGAACGCAUUUUCUUUCACCGUAGCUUGCUACACCGAAAGAAAAUGAGUGGCGAACGGGUGAGUAACACGUGGGUAACCUGCCCAUCAGCGGGGGAUAACACUUGGAAACAGGUGCUAAUACCGCAUAAUUCCAUUUACCGCAUGGUAGAUGGGUGAAAGGCGCUUUUGCGUCACUGAUGGAUGGACCCGCGGUGCAUUAGCUAGUUGGUGGGGUAACGGCCUACCAAGGCUGCGAUGCAUAGCCGACCUGAGAGGGUGAUCGGCCCCACUGGGACUGAGACACGGCCCAGACUCCUACGGGAGGCAGCAGUAGGGAAUCUUCGGCAAUGGACGCAAGCCUGACCCAGCAACGCCGGGUGAGUGAAGAAGUUUUUCGGAUCGUAAAACUCUUUUGUUAGAGAAGAACAAGAGUGAGAGGGGAAAGUUCCUCCCUGGGCGGUAUCUAACCAAAAAGCCCCGGCAAACUACGG
rnacentral:rRNA from 1 species